rnacentral:lncRNA from 1 species
UGAUCAUGCCCUACCUACAAAAGAGUUAGGUAAAUGCAAAGACAUAUUUUUGGUAUUUUGGUUAGUAAAAUGAUAAUUUACAAGUAUGAUACAAUCACAUGGUGCUUGGUGAUCUCUCCCAGAACAAACCCAAUGAAACAGGGGUAAGGAGGAUGUCAAGGUAUGAUCCCAAUGCUAAUGCAUAUAAUGAAAUUGCAUGAGGAAUCUUAGGGUCAAAAUUGGGGUCUUACACAUAUCCAAAGCACCAUCCAUCUUUUCAUGUCGAAGUCCAAGCAUGUCAAUUGCACUUCAAGUCAUCAGCCAAAACUAAAAAUAACCUGCGAAGAAGGAAGCGAAUUCUUAGCUCUCAUUUUCUAAUUCAGAACUAAACCUACACAAACCACCAAAAAAAUAUGCAUAAAAACCAAGUAUGAACUCUCAUGAGCUCUCCUAAUAGAACCUAUAACCAACCUUCAAUUUCAUCACCUAACAAGAAACGAACCGAAUUUUUUAGCAUAACAGAAAUAUAUGAUUCCCACAAUGCAUAAAAGAGCUUGAAUCUCACCCUUAAAACAUUCCAACUUUCCCUUCAUCUCACUCGAACAAAAUCCUUGACCCUACAUUGAAAUUGCUAAUAGAAUUGGUUUUUUAACAUUACAAUUACUCACAACAGUAUAUCAAAUCCUGCACUAACUUGCUACUAACGAUUUAACAUCCAACCGAGUUCAAAACGGAAGCUUGACGACAUGAAUUAACUAGCAUCCAAUCGAUCAUCGACAAAAUUCACUUCAGAUAACUAACAUGUUAAUCAGACUAAUCAACUAAGCACACCUUGCAUCCUGCAUUUUCAUGUUGACAGUAGAAACAUUAUUAUGCCCGCCAUUCAUGACAGCUUUGCAAAAAUCAUCCAGCCUACUAAUACAGUAGAGAAAAAUAUCAUUUUCAUCCUGCAGUAAAUCACAUAACAGAUCAAGACCUAAUUCCACGCCAUUGACUUGACCUAACCAAUUUUCAUUACUUAACUAACCGAAUGACAACCUAACACAUUUUUCAAUGUCUAACUAACUGAAUGUGAAUUGAAUUUACACUUUUGUUUCCAACAGAUUUUAUAACUAACAUCCAACUGAUAUUCACUAACCAACUAUCAUAGCUCAAUCUCAUUUCAAUGUGAAUUUAAGUUAAUUUUGUUACCUGCCCUAACGGUGCCCGAUGUUCACGACCUGCCCGAUUCAGUUACAGCUCUUCAUUCCUCUCUAUAACAUUUCAUUUGCCUCAUUCCGCAUCACUUUUUUAAUUUCGGAAAUUUCUUCAUUCCAAACUUACACAACCUCUUGAUUCUUCAAGCUACGCUUAUCUUCAUUCUGCAACGUCUGCAAGAUUUUCAUUCUGCAACGUCUGCAAGAGCUUGAUUCUGUAACUUCUGCAAGAGCUUCAUUCUAGAGCCUCAAGCUUUAUUCUAUAAUCUGCAAUUCACGGGGAAACAGAUAACUGAAUCAUAGCAAUUAGAAGAAGAAGACUAAAGAAGAAGAGGAGAAAGCAAAUCGAGGAGAAUUCGCUCAUCCUCCUUACAACUUCUCAACCAUUCCCGUACCAGAGGUGUUCUUCAUCUGCAACGGUUCACACAAAAGCAUACUCAAUCUCUACAAUUUACAUACCAGUUUCAGAGUUACAAGAGUAAGAAUAAGAAAGGCAAAGUUGGAAUCAGUUUUGUACCUGUCAAUGAGUAAAGCUUCGAGUCCGAUAAGCCUCUUACAUCCAUUCUCGUUCUUCUUAUUCGUUGUCAUGUGCGUACAUGAGUUGAUUCGAGUGUGGAUGAUGAUUCUAAGCUGCGAACUAUGGAGGUAGAGUCACGUCCUUCAUUUGGCGCAAGGAGAAAUUUCCAUCUUAGCUUCUUUCCAUAAGCGCUUUUUCUGGUGUGUUUCGUGUUACUGAGAUUUCUUUCAAAUCCGGAGGAGGACAUUGGAUUCGUGGCACGAUGAGCUCGUAUAAGAUGAAUACGACGGAUUCAUGGUGUUGACAGGAGACGAAUCCGGCGCGACUUUUGGAAUGUGCGAGUAAGCUUGAAUAUGUGACAUUCAUU